AGAAAUAAAGUAAAUGGGUUUGGUGUGAGAGAGAGAGAGAGAGAGGAGUGGGUUGGUGAAGAUAGUGAGAGAGAGAGAGAGAGAGAUUCUGAUUGGGCUUUGGUGGAAAGAGUGGGCCCAUGUAGACGAUAUAACCGAAGCAAUAAGAACUUAAGAAGUCCAUGUAAUAUUGAAAAAAUCAAAAAAAUAACACCGAUAAAAUAAAUUUUAUAUAAUCUUCUUUUUUUUUUUUUUUUGUAAUCUUCUUCUUCUUCACCAAC
rnacentral:lncRNA from 1 species